CGGCGCGUAGCUCAUGGCAGGCGAGAGCGCUCGGCUGAUAACCGAGAGGCAGGAGGUUCGACCCCUCCCGCGCCGA
rnacentral:tRNA from 1 species